GUCGAGGGGUAGUAUAGCAAUAUAUGAGACCGGCGCACGGGUGCGUAACGCGUAUGCAACCUACCUUUUACAGGGGAAUAGCCCAGAGAAAUUUGGAUUAAUGCCCCAUAGUAUAAUUGAAUGGCAUCAUUUGAUUAUUAAAGUUCCAACGGUAAAAGAUGGGCAUGCGUCCUAUUAGCUAGAUGGUAAGGUAACGGCUUACCAUGGCUACGAUAGGUAGGGGUCCUGAGAGAGAGAUCCCCCACACUGGUACUGAGACACGGACCAGACUCCUACGGGAGGCAGCAGUGAGGAAUAUUGGACAAUGGGCGCAAGCCUGAUCCAGCCAUGCCGCGUGCAGGAAGACGCAUCUAUGGUGUGUAAACUGCUUUUGUACGGGAAGAAACACUCCCUCGUGAGGGAGCUUGACGGUACCGUAAGAAUAAGGAUCGGCUAACUCCGUGCCAGCAGCCGCGGUAAUACGGAGGAUCCAAGCGUUAUCCGGAAUCAUUGGGUUUAAAGGGUCCGUAGGCGGUUUAAUAAGUCAGUGGUGAAAGCCCAUCGCUCAACGAUGGAACGGCCAUUGAUACUGUUAGACUUGAAUUACAAGGAAGUAACUAGAAUAUGUAGUGUAGCGGUGAAAUGCUUAGAUAUUACAUGGAAUACCAAUUGCGAAGGCAGGUUACUACUUGUGGAUUGACGCUGAUGGACGAAAGCGUGGGGAGCGAACAGGAUUAGAUACCCUGGUAGUCCACGCCGUAAACGAUGGAUACUAGCUGUUCGGAGCAAUCUGAGUGGCUAAGCGAAAGUGAUAAGUAUCCCACCUGGGGAGUACGUUCGCAAGAAUGAAACUCA
rnacentral:rRNA from 1 species